rnacentral:rRNA from 1 species
UACGAAGGGGGGCUAGCGUUGUUCGGAAUCACUGGGCGUAAAGCGCACGUAGGCGGAUGUGCCAGUCAGGGGUGAAAUCCCGGAGCUCAACUUCGGAACUGCCUCUGAUACAGCACGUCUUGAGUCCGGAAGAGGUGGGUGGAAUUCCUAGUGUAGAGGUGAAAAUUCGUAGAUAUUAGGAAGAACACCGAUGGCGAAGGCAGCCUUCUGGGCCAACACUGACGCUCAUGCACGAAAGCGUGGGGGAG